UCCAUCCUUAGCUCUGUGCCUGUGGCACAGUGGUGUGGGCUUCAGGUCUGACGUCUGGGUGAUUCUUCUAUAGACCUUGGGACUCUCCUCCAACUUCUCUGGGCUGCAACUCUCUAACAUUCAGUGGUUGCAUGGAGUAGUGUCGAUCUUCACUGAAGUCAGACUCAUUUAAAUGAGGAAAUGUCUUCUGAACACUCCCUAUGCAUGACCCUGAUGUGUGAAAAGGCCCUGAUGCUUGUGUAAUUAUCUUUACUGUUAUUACUCAAAAUCACUAUUCUGUGUACUCCUGCAAAAGGCUUUAAACACCAAAAGAGCUUAUGUUUUCAAUAGUGUGAGCACAGAAAACCAAAACAAAUGAGAAGAAACUUCCUGUUGCCAGUGCCCUGCAGAGAAGGCUUUCAAUGGAGAGAUGUUGGCACCAGGCCCAUGUGUCCCCUCGGGAAGAUGGGCUUCUCAGCUCUGAGAUGCUAAGUUGCCGCAGACACUCUCUUAGGUCCUCAUCUGGAAGGGGACUGUUUUGAAGAUCAGAUCUAUGAACUCGUGGCAAAUGUGCAAACGACACUGUGUCCUGUUCUCUGUCUCUAAGGCCAACCUAGUACAAAGGGAUUGGACAGAGCCAAGGGAAGUCCAAUAUCCACAUCAUUACACAACUGCCAUUACAGCCAAAGUCCUGCAUGAUGAACAGUCUUCAUACUGAGGCCCAUCAUAGGGGCAGAGCCUGAGAACCAUUUGGAGCCCAUGUGUGGAGGCCUUUUGCGGGUGUAUGGAGACGUGGAGGCUGCUUUGGGGAGACUGGAAGGCUGGUGUUUUCCUGGCUGCCAGAAUAUUAGAACAAUUUUCCCUUUUCAUUAAAGCACUGAC